rnacentral:rRNA from 1 species
UACGUAGGGGGCAAGCGUUGUCCGGAUUUAUUGGGCGUAAAGAGCGUGUAGGCGGCCAGGUAGGUCAGCUGUGAAAACUCGAGGCUCAACCUCGAGACGUCGGUUGAAACCACCUGGCUAGAGUCCGGAAGAGGAGAGUGGAAUUCCUGGUGUAGCGGUGAAAUGCGCAGAUAUCAGGAAGAACACCAAUGGCGAAGGCGGGUCUCUGGGCAGUAACUGACGCUGAGGAGCGAAAGCGUGGGGAGCGAACAGG